rnacentral:rRNA from 1 species
GAUGAACGCUGACAGAAUGCUUAACACAUGCAAGUCGAUGGGGAAGUGGUGCUUGGACCAUGGUAACCAUGGCGGACGGGUGAGUAACGCGUAAGGAACUUACCUGCGGGACCGGGAUAACAGCAGGAAACUGCUGACAAGACCGGAUAAGGUCAUUAAGCUGCAUAGCUUAGUGAUGAAAGGAGACGCCUGCGGAGAGCCUUGCGUCCUAUUAGCUAGUUGGAGGGGUAACGGCCCACCAAGGCGAAGAUAGGUAGCCGGCCUGAGAGGGUGGACGGCCACAAGGGGACUGAGAUACGGCCCUUACUCCUACGGGAGGCAGCAGUGGGGAAUAUUGGACAAUGGGGGCAACCCUGAUCCAGCAAUUCUGUGUGCACGAAGACGGUUUUCGGAUUGUAAAGUGCUUUCAGCAGGGAAGAAGGAAGUGACGGUACCUGCAGAAGAAGCGACGGCUAAAUACGUG